CACCCUGCCGUGCUUAACAGCACGGUAGAGGAGCCGGUUCCGCAACAAGUAGACAGAAAAAAAUGCCGUCCGUGCGGAGAGCCUCGGACGCCGAGGCGGCGGCCUCGGAAGGAGAGGCGACGGCUGGCUCUCCGGCGAGCAGUGGUCGCGGGUGCUGCUCCGCCCCCUCGGCCGCGCGGGCGGCAUGGUGGCGGCGGUUGUUUGGUGGCUGGUCUUCGCGUGCGGUCUUCUCCGACGGACGGCGCCAGAUCUGCAGAGAUAAUCCAGAGAAUUUAACCAAAGUGUUGGCUGAGGCAGUGAAGUGUGCACAAGCUCUUAAGACCGAUGAUCUGAUUACUGACACUAGAGUUAAGGAAGCUUUUGCAGAGCUGAUGAAUAAAGUGUACCCGCAUCUACCUGAGAGUCUACAGGAUCAACUGAUUGCGGAUUUCAAACUCAAUAUCCUCCGUCGGGCACAAGAGAAAAAUACUCCCCCAGUUGAGUUGAUGGAUUGUGAACAGAAGAAGAACUUCCUCGGGAAAAAAGGAACUCGUACCAAUACCUUGUGGAUUAUAGAAAAGCUAGUCCUGUUAGUCGGCAUAUCCUGCUUCAUGUACCUCAUGAGCCUCUAUGUCACCGAGAACUGAAAAGAGAAAGGUAUGCAGCAAGGUUGGAAGAAACUCACUGAACAUCUUGGCAGCGCACAGCACCAAGUCAGCGAUAUAUUGUACAUGCACUGGCCCUUGCCCACCAUGUUCAUGAAAAUUUGAGCUUAAACUUCAGAAGCCCACGCACCGAGUUCUCAUACUGAUCAGGCUCCAACUGAUGAGCAGACAUAUGGUAAGUGGUUUCUCUAUGGUAAGAGUACACCUUGCCGAGAACGUUGAUAUCUUCCUUUGUCUGGUUUCAUCAAUGCUCUUCUCCAGUCAUUGGGAUAUACAAUUGGCUUUGCUUCCAAGACUGAGAUGUAGCCGAGUACGAUAUAUAUCUAGCAUAAAGUAUGGUCUCAAAGUAUGUACACACAGUUGAGGGCAUCAAUGCAACGUGAUAACUCAAAUAUUUUCUGAACCAUGCCUCUGCAACCAACUCAUUAGUCGCUCCAUCCAGGUCUUCUGUGAGCUGGCUAAAGUAAACUAGCAAAGUAUCAUUCAUCUUGCACAGUUGUAUGAUUAUUCAGCAGCUCUUUGUAGGUCAUCGACUAUAGUUCUCUGCUUAUUUAACGGUUGGUCAGUUUUGCUGUCGAGGCCUCCAUGUAGUAGGUAUGGGUUUGGUGGCUCCGUGGUGUGGCCUAAGGUGGAUCUGUCAGUCUGCAUGCUCGGCUCGUUGUGUUCUUGCCUGGCUGGUCGUCGACCCUGAGGUAUGCUCUCCUCUCCGCCUCGCUUCAGUAUCUUGUGCUCAUGCUGCCGCUGAAGCUCUGAGCUUCCCUUUUCCCUGCAGUUCUGUUCUCAUCUUCCCCUUCUGCUGCUGUUUCCUCCCACUUAACCAUCCAGUGUCCUUGCACUUCCCGCAUCCGUUCGUCUGCUCGUGUGGUUCUAGUUCAUGCCUACUAUGGAUGUUUGCCCAUGGUGUUGAACCUGCUGCAGUUUGGGCGCCAGGACGUGCUGCUUGGUCUUUUUUUUUUGUGGUGCGUGUUCAGGCUGUUUGUUGAUAUGCGCCUUUGAAACACUUGAACAAUUCGCUCAUCAUACCUUGAGUUUUGAAGUCUUCACUUUCAGCACUGUAGUUGUACAUGAGAGCUCAUGUUGCAAUGCCAUCAGCUGCAUGCUAUAUAUGCACAAUUACUUACCAAAUUGAUAGGCCAUGUUGAUUAUUUACAUUCAACAUAACAGAAAACAAACUGGGCAAGCUUACCUAUCAUUAACUUGAUGGGUCACAAAAUGCAGAGAUGGGUCACACAGUGUGUCAGCACGAUGCUGAUCCACAAAGGCAACUAGAGGAUUUCCUGGCAGGAAAUCAUAAAUAAACGAGAUAGAAAAACCAAAUUCAUCUUCAGGACAAGUGAAACCAUGACAACAACGUCUGUAGAGAAUGCCUGACCACUGAGGCUACACUUAAUGCCAACAGAAAAAAAAAUGAUCCAUGGCUCCUUUGAGAUUGUCUAUCUUUUACAUUUUGUUCCAUAUUCUUCUCAUAUAACAUAGACAAACAAGGUUUUGAAAAUAGAUCAACAAGGUUUUGAAAAUACUCCCUCCGUUCCUAAAUAUAAGUCUUUUUAGACAUUUCAAAUGGACUACAACAUAAGGAUGUAUGUAGACAUAUUUUGGAAUAUAGAUUCAUUCAUUUUGCUCCGUAUGUAGUCACUUGUUAAAAUCUCUAAAAAGACUUAUAUUUAGGAACGGAGCUAGCCCAAGCAGGUCCAUGUACAGGAUUCUACGGCAAGCUAGACCUACAAAUUCGAUUAAGCUAUUUCUAAGCCUAGCUUUGCACGUAUCGUAUGUGUAUUGCUCCUGGCUAAAUCAGUCUAAUCCUUGCCGGCAACCAACAGUUUGCUCUCGCCUGUGUGCCGUCUGGCAGGAGCUGGGGCUGGAGCUGCACCGGUCUCCUCGCCUUGGACGGCCCCUGAUGCCGUGCUCCUGCAGUGUGCCCAGCGUGAGCAUCCAACCGCGCCGUGUCCAACUUUCUCCGGCUGCCGUCCGGGGAGCCUGCAGCUGGAGCGCGCGGAUAUUGGCCGGGGGUCGACUGCGUGGACGGCACACGCUAGAGGGUGCUUGCACGGCCGUGGCCGCCAUUUUUUCUGUUUCAACUAAGUUUCUCGAGUACAUAACUUGGUCAAAUCUAUUACGUAGUUACAAGUUUUUUGUCAUCAAACUUGGAAAAGUUGAAAAUUUCUCAAUUAUGUAUAAUACAAUUUUUUUUCCACAAUUGCAACCCUUGGUCAAA